GCUUGCUUCUAUGACGUUAGCGGCGGACGGGUGAGUAACACGUGGGCAACCUGCCUGUAAGACUGGGAUAACUUCGGGAAACCGAAGCUAAUACCGGAUAGGAUCUUCUCCUUCAUGGGAGAUGAUUGAAAGAUGGUUUCGGCUAUCACUUACAGAUGGGCCCGCGGUGCAUUAGCUAGUUGGUGAGGUAACGGCUCACCAAGGCAACGAUGCAUAGCCGACCUGAGAGGGUGAUCGGCCACACUGGGACUGAGACACGGCCCAGACUCCUACGGGAGGCAGCAGUAGGGAAUCUUCCGCAAUGGACGAAAGUCUGACGGAGCAACGCCGCGUGAGUGAUGAAGGCUUUCGGGUCGUAAAACUCUGUUGUUAGGGAAGAACAAGUACGAGAGUAACUGCUCGUACCUUGACGGUACCUAACCAGAAAGCCACGGCUAACUACGUGCCAGCAGCCGCGGUAAUACGUAGGUGGCAAGCGUUAUCCGGAAUUAUUGGGCGUAAAGCGCGCGCAGGCGGUUUCUUAAGUCUGAUGUGAAAGCCCACGGCUCAACCGUGGAGGGUCAUUGGAAACUGGGGAACUUGAGUGCAGAAGAGAAAAGCGGAAUUCCACGUGUAGCGGUGAAAUGCGUAGAGAUGUGGAGGAACACCAGUGGCGAAGGCGGCUUUUUGGUCUGUAACUGACGCUGAGGCGCG
rnacentral:rRNA from 2 species